CUAGCACCUGAUACAAGUUAUGCAGUCUUUAUUUUGGCUUCUGCAGCAGCCAUUAGAGUCUCACAGAUGGAAAAAAAAGCACGAGCUAUGUAUUUUAGUUAGCGGUGUUUUAUCGAAGGCGGUGUCCUUGGGCUAGUUUCUGCUACUGGUAGAUUUCAACGGAGACGUGUAUUUCCCAGGACAGCCUUACAACAGGAUCACCUGAUCUUUGGGUCUCCUCCAAGCUGCAAUACUGUCAGCAUAUAGGCUGCGUGUGGAUCCCAAGGAGAGGGGAAAUCAACCGGAGGAAUCGACCCGGCAAUGCAAAGAAUGAGGAUGCUAUGCUGUCUGUUACACCAGAGGCUGUGCUCCACGUCCUCACCUGUCUCACUGCAUCCUCCUGGGGACUCCACACAGCCACAGACCUUUGGGUUUGCUCCCGAAGUCCUCCCCAUCGAGCAGCAGUGUGUUUGCUGCUUCCUUUGAAGACCUCACUUUCUUACAGUAUCCUCACAAAUGUGUGUGCGAGGUCAAGGUGACAGCGCCUCCCUCCAAGCAGCUGCCCUGUUAGCACCUGAUACUGGAUAAUAAUAAUGAUUAAUGAAUCUUAAUCUUUCUGUCACAAUUCCCUUUCAUUAAUAUUUAUAUCUGGCAGAUGUACCCCCAGGGGGGAGCUUGAAUUGCUAAGUAUUAUACUGCUAUGUACAGCUGGUAUUUUAUGCAGCAACUUCGAGGACAUUCUUCUAAACAACUUAUUAUGUGCAAUUUUAUUUUCAACUCGUUGUUAAUGCUGCCACGUGUCAGACUAGAGAAGAAUGUUUAUUUUAGUCCCACUUAUCUGAUGAAGUAAAAAAACAACAACACUGAAUACCAACAUUUUCAGGGAAAAGGAUCUGAUGUAAAAGAAUGAAUGCAUGCAUGCUUAACCAACUAGCAUUAUUACAGAGGUCAAGCUCAGCUACAGAGACACCACUGAGCCUCCUAAUUACAACAGGGUGUAAUUUAAGGCAUCUUUAGCAGCCGGUGAUUUUAAACGUGUGCCUUUUUCUGGUUAGAUGUAUGUGUUCAGCUGCUAAAAAAGUCUUGUGAAGCACUUUUGGAAGAAUAAACAUUCAAUUAAAUGA